GAUGAACGCUAGCGGCAGGCUUAACACAUGCAAGUCGUGGGGCAGCAGGUCUGUAGCAAUACAGAUGCUGGCGACCGGCAAACGGGUGCGUAACACGUACGCAACCUUCCCGUUACUGGGGAAUAGCCCAGGGAAACUUGGAUUAAUACCCCAUAUUAUAUUGGUUAGGCAUCUGACUGAUAUCAAAGCUUCGGCGGUAACGGAUGGGCGUGCGGUUGAUUAGGUAGUUGGCGGGGUAACGGCCCACCAAGCCUACGAUCAAUAGCUGAUGUGGGGGCAUGAUCGGCCACCCGGGCACUGAGACACGGCCCGACUCCUGCGGGAGGCAGCAGUAAGGAAUAUUGGGAAAUGGACGAAAGUCUGACCCAGCCAGGCGGCGUGAAGGAUGAAGGUCCUCUGGAUUGUAAACUUCUUUUACCUGGGGCGAAAAUCGGUUAUUCUUAGCCGCUUGACAGUACCAGAUGAAUAAGCACCGGCUAACUCCGUGCCAGCAGCCGCCGUAACAC
rnacentral:rRNA from 1 species